GCGGGUAUAAUUUAAUGGUAGAAUACGUCCUUCCCAAGGAUGAUGUACGGGUUCGAUUCCCGUUACCCGCUCCA
rnacentral:tRNA from 2 species